rnacentral:rRNA from 1 species
AGCGCAGACGGUUAUUUAAGUCUGAAGUGAAAGCCCUCAGCUCAACUGAGGAAUGGCUUUGGAAACUGGAUGACUUGAGUGCAGUAGAGGAAAGUGGAACUCCAUGUGUAGCGGUGAAAUGCGUAGAUAUAUGGAAGAACACCAGUGGCGAAGGCGGCUGUCUGGUCUGUAACUGACGCUGAGGCUCGAAAGCAUGGGUAGCGAACA